rnacentral:rRNA from 1 species
CAGCCGCGGUAAUUCCAGCUCUCAGAGUGUAUAUCUGUCUUGCUGUGGUUAAAAAGCUCGUAGUUGGAUCUGUACCUUGAGAAACAGUUCACCUUUGUGUGUAACUGCUUUCCGAGGUGUAAUUCGUGGGUUUACUCACGAGAGUUACCCUGAUUAAAUCAGAGUGCUCAAAACAAGCGUUUCGCUUGAAUGUUUUUGCAUGGAAUAAUGGAAAAGGACUUCGGUUCCUUACUGUUGGUUUCGGAAUUGAAGUAAUGAUUAACAGGGACCAACGGGGGCAUACGUAUCGUUGCGCGAGAGGUGAAAUUCAUGGACCGCAGCGAGACGUUCAAUAGCGAAAGCAUUUGCCAAGAAUGUCUUCACUAAUCAAGAACGAAAGUCAGAGGUUCGAAGGCGAUUAGAUACCGCCGUAGUUCUGACCGUAAACGAUUCCAUCUAGCGAUCCGACGGCGGUUUUUCUGCCUUGUCGGGGAGCUUCCCGGAAACGAAAGU